UACGUAGGGUGCAAGCGUUGUCCGGAAUUAUUGGGCGUAAAGAGCUCGUAGGCGGUUUGUCGCGUCGGCUGUGAAAACUCGGGGCUCAACCCCGAGCCUGCAGUCGAUACGGGCAAACUAGAGUGUGGUAGGGGAGACUGGAAUUCCUGGUGUAGCGGUGAAAUGCGCAGAUAUCAGGAGGAACACCGGCGGCGAAGGCGGGUCUCUGGGCCAUAACUGACGCUGAGGAGCGAAGGCGUGGGGAGCGAACAGG
rnacentral:rRNA from 1 species